UUAAUAUUCAAAAUGGCCGGACCAGUGGCAAAUUCAGAAAUGUGACCAAAUAUUAAGCAAGAUUACAUGAAAAUAAACGUAUGUCAGCAUUUAAGAAUAGAUAAUAAACAUUUAUAUAUACAAAUGGCAUCUGAAAAUCAUAAUAAUAUAAGAUAAAAGCAGUUACAUAGAAAGUAAUCAUCAAAACAAUGCGAUGGUUCGUACUCAGAAAUAUUCGUACUCAAAGUCGGAAAAUAAAUAAAAGUAAUAAAGAACAUUGAUAAAAUAGCCUGAGCAUCACAUUACCCCCACCUCUCAGGAAUCGGUCCCCGAUUAAGAAGUGUGGUUACAAGUAUGACAGCAAUUAUGACUGUAGAACCAGUGCAGAUGUCUAUAAAAGAUUAUUUCAGACACACUGAACUGGGCAUGGCACAAAAUCCUGUAGAAUAAUCACAAAAUAUGUAUAUUACGUAUUUGCUUGCGGUGUGUUUCUAUGAUAGACCUUGCAACAGAAUCGACACUUCCAUGUCACACCAGAGUGCUGUUCUAGAAUAUGACUGUAACAUCUGCUUCGGGUUGUAAAGGAGAUAUCUCCACAAAUCUUACAUUCAAAGGGUUUCUGAAGAUAGACAAAAUAAGUUUCCUAAGAUUGUCUACAAGAGGAGCUCCUAUCAGUAGGUCAAUUGGUAACCUCAUCUGAGUUCCAAACAUCAUAGAGAAUGGUGUGACACCAGUAGAUUGAUGUACAGCAGUGUGAUGUGCCAUCAUGCAGAAAGGUUGUCAACAUAACAUCAACAGCUUACCUUCCAGUGUAGAGAAAACAGAACAGAAAACUGUCAACAUAAACAACACAAAUCUUAUCCCAAAUAUUUAACUUUUCUUUAAAUUGUCUAGCCAAUUGUCAGGAGUAUUCAACUUUUCAAAUUGAAAACUUGUUUUUUCAAUUAUGUGUAAUACUAACUAAAUUCUAUAAAAAAUAAUAUCCUUGUUCUUAUCUAUAUUUUCAUAUUCAAUUUAUCUAAAACAUUUGUGUUAACCAUGAUCUUGUUAGACCUUGUAGAUCCCACUUCUGACACCAGAUGUGGUGCCCAGACCCCUGCUUAGUGUUUCCAGGGCAGUCUGCAGCCUCACAUUAACCCAGGGUUCGUUUUACACGGCCCAAGUACCAAAUUAUAAAUGACACAUAAGACAUUUUGUAACUUAAAACUCUUUUAAUUAAAAUAUUAUAUAGAUCAAUUUAUUUACAUAUACAUAGUCAUGGAUGCCUAGAGUCUCUUAUUAUUAUUCCUAUGGAUGACCAGAUUUCAGUAAACAAGUACCAGGUUUGGUAAAAUAUAAUGAGAUACCAGAUCUGGUAGUUACCAGAUUGGGUACUAUACCGGAUUGGGUAUUAUACCAGAUUUGGUAUGAACCAUUUCUGGAACAACCGUUCUCUACACUGGCAAAGUAAUUAUAACUGUUUAACAAUAACAACAAGUGAAUUUCACCUGUAUCCGAUCCAUUUUCGGUUAUUUAUUCGUCUACAAUUAUCUACUCAAUAGAGUACUUUUCUACCAGACGACCUGAUAUGAGAUGACAACGAUAUGCUAACGCGCAGUAUUUAUAGUACCCUGUGACGUCAUCACAUUAAUAUUCAAAAUGGCCGACCAGUGGCAAAUUCAGAAAUGUGACCAAAUAUUAAGCAAGAUUACAUGAAAAUAAACGUAUGUCAGCAUUUAAGAAUAGAUAAUAAACAUUUAUAUAUACAAAUGGCAUCUGAAAAUCAUAAUAAUAUAAGAUAAAAGCAGUUACAUAGAAAGUAAUCAUCAAAACAAUGCGAUGGUUCGUACUCAGAAAUAUUCGUACUCAAAGUCGGAAAAUAAAUAAAAGUAAUAAAGAACAUUGAUAAAAUAGCCUGAGCAUCA